rnacentral:rRNA from 1 species
CGACGACCUGUAUCCAAUCAGGAGCUUUCUACAGGUGCUGCAUGGCUGUCGUCAGCUCGUGCCGUGAGGUGUUGGGUUAAGUCCUGAAACGAGCGCAACCCCUGCCGCCCGUUGCCAGCGGACCCUUCGGGUGCCGGGAACUUUGGCGGGACUGCCGGCGAAUAGCUGGAGAAGGAGGGGAUGAUGUCAAGUCCUCAUGGCCCUUAUGUCCGGGGCUACACACAUGCUACAGUGCCCAGUACAAUGGGUCGCCAACCCGCAAGGGGGAGCCAAUCCCAUCAAAACGGGGCAUGGUUCGGAUUGCAGGCUGCAAUUCGCCUGCAUGAAGCCGGAAUCGCUAGUAAUCGCGGGUCAGCCACACCGCGGUGAAUACGUACUCGGGGCUU